rnacentral:rRNA from 1 species
AACGAACGCUGGCGGCACGUUUUAAGCAUGCAAGUCGAACGGCAGUGGGGGCAACCCCAUGAGAGUGGCGAACGGGUGAGUAACACGUAGGUGAUCUGCCUCGGGGUUGGGAUAGCUUGUGGAAACACAGGGUAAUACCGAAUAAGCUGACACGGCUUUGGCUGAGUUAGUAAAGGUGCUACGGCACCGCCUUGAGAGGAGCCUGCGGCUGAUUAGCUAGUUGGUGGGGUAAAGGCCUACCAAGGCGACGAUCAGUAGCCGGCCUGAGAGGGUGUACGGCCACACUGGAACUGAGACACGGUCCAGACUCCUACGGGAGGCAGCAGCUAAGAAUCUUCCGCAAUGGGCGAAAGCCUGACGGAGCGAUGCCGCGUGAUCGAUGAAG